GAUGAACGCUGGCGGCGUGCCUAAUACAUGCAAGUCGAGCGAACAGACGAGGAGCUUGCUCCUCUGACGUUAGCGGCGGACGGGUGAGUAACACGUGGAUAACCUACCUAUAAGACUGGGAUAACUUCGGGAAACCGGAGCUAAUACCGGAUAAUAUAUUGAACCGCAUGGUUCAAUAGUGAAAGACGGUUUUGCUGUCACUUAUAGAUGGAUCCGCGCCGCAUUAGCUAGUUGGUAAGGUAACGGCUUACCAAGGCGACGAUGCGUAGCCGACCUGAGAGGGUGAUCGGCCACACUGGAACUGAGACACGGUCCAGACUCCGACGGGAGGCAGCAGUAGGGAAUCUUCCGCAAUGGGCGAAAGCCUGACGGAGCAACGCCGCGUGAGUGAUGAAGGUCUGCGGAUCGUAAAACUCUGUUAUUAGGGAAGAACAAAUGUGUAAGUAACUAUGCACGUCUUGACGGUACCUAAGCAGAAAGCCACGGCUAACUACGG
rnacentral:rRNA from 1 species